rnacentral:rRNA from 1 species
GAUGAACGCUGGCGGCGUGCCUAACACAUGCAAGUCGAACGGAGUCCAGCCUUUAAGACCUUCGGGUCAAAGAGGGGAAGACUGAGUGGCGGACGGGUGAGUAACACGUGGGCAACCUGGCUCAUAGAGGGGGAUAACAGAGAGAAAUUUCUGCUAAUACCGCAUAAGCACACACUGCCGCAUGGCAGAGGGUGAAAAGAGAAUCGCUAUGAGAUGGACCCGCGUCUGAUUAGCCAGUUGGCAGGGUAAGAGCCUACCAAAGCGACGAUCAGUAGCCGAUCUGAGAGGACGAACGGCCACAUUGGGACUGAGACACGGCCCAAACUCCUACGGGAGGCAGCAGUGGGGGAUAUUGCACAAUGGGGGGAACCCUGAUGCAGCGACGCCGCGUGAGUGAAGAAGUAUUUCGGUAUGUAAAGCUCUAUCAGCAGGGAAGAUAAUGACAGUACCUGAAUAAGAAGCCCCGGCUAACUACGUG